AUGGGGUGCCGGCCCACCGUCGCCAUGCUGCUAGUGCAGGUCGGCUUCGCCGGCAACAACCUGCUGUCCAAGAUGGCGUUGGACAGCGGCGCCAGCCCAUACGUGCUCAUCUCCUGCCGGAGCCUCAUAGCCGCCGUCUUCCUCGCGCCCUUCGCCGUCUACUUCGAGAGGAAUAAAUGGGCGAUGAUCACCAAGAAAGUAAUUAUCCAGAUACUCAUUUCGUCCACUCUCGGCAUGGCGGUGAGCGAGGUGCUCUUCUUCGUGGGGUUUCAGUCCACCGGCCCGACCGUGGCCUGCGCGAUUGGCAACAUCGUCCCCGCCCUCACCUUCGCCAUAGCCGCCGCGCUGAGGAUGGAGGCUGUGCGGCUCGGGACUCUCGCCGGGAAGGCAAAGGUGGCCGGCACGCUCGUCUGCGUGGGCGGCUCCAUGAUCAUGCCCUUGUACAAGGGCCCGCUCCUCAAGGUCCCGGCCUCCCCUGUCCACUGGCGCUACGCGGAGCACGCCGCCAUCGUCGCCGCGGAGGUGCCACCGGCCAGUACUGGCCUCGGCGACGCCCUUGUCAUCCUCAGCGCCGUCGCCUGGGCCGCCUGGCUCGUCAUGCAGAACAAGGCGUCGGAGGAUUUCUCGGCGCCGUACACCAGCACGACGAUCAUGUCCCUCAUAGUAUCGGUCGAGUGCGCGGUCGUCAGCGCCGCCGUGGACCGGAGCCUCGCCGUGUGGAACCUUGGGCUCGGCAUCAGGCUCUACACCGUGCUCUACAUGGGGAUCGUUGGCUGGGGUGUCACGUUCGCAGUGAUGGCGUGGUGCAUCCAGGUGCGCGGCCCGCUCUUCGUCUCCAUGUUCAACCCAGUGGUGCUCGUCGUCGUCGCCGUUCUCGGGUGGGCUAGCCUCGACGAGCAGCUGCACGUCGGAAGUGCGAUAGGUUCUGCUCUCAUUAUUGGUGGGUUGUACAUGGUGCUGUGGGGCAAGGGGAGUGAGAUGAGCAGACCGGCGGCCCUAGUCGACGGCAAAGGUGGAUCGGAGAUCACCGCGAAGGGCCCGGAGCCGAAGAACGACCACGCCGAUUCCUCCUUGCUGGUUUGA
rnacentral:rRNA from 1 species